UAUGCCGCUGACAAAGAUGAGCUCUACCAGUCUCUCCUUUUUUUUAUUCCAUCAAAGGCCAGUUCUAAUUUUUCCUUCGAAAUCUCAUCCAUAAGCCUUUUAUAAAGCCGGCUCCGGUGGGUCCCCUGGUUCUCUAUUUGCUUAAGGUGGUCCAAGUACGUAUCCAAUGAGAAUGCCCUACCAAAAGGAUAGAAGAGCACCCCCCUAAUCUGGUGCCUUUUCUCUAAAAUGGAACCUUCUUGAACCCUGUCCGAACGAAGGGCUUCCUCUAUCUUAAGCUCAGUUUGUAAUUGGGUCUCAAUUAUUGCCUCAGAAAUAUCUUCGGGCAAGGGACGA
rnacentral:lncRNA from 1 species